AUCGCUUCUCGGCCUUUUGGCUAAGAUCAAGUGUAGUAUCUGUUCUUAUCAGUUUAAUAUCUGAUACGUCCCCUACCCGGGGACCAUAUAUUAAAUUGAUUUUUGGAGCAGGGAGAUGGAAUAGGGGCUUGCUCCGUCCACUCCACGCAUCGACCUGGUACUGCAGUACCUCCAGGACCGGUGCACUCCCU
ensembl:snRNA U2 U2 spliceosomal RNA